GCCUCUGUCUGCUGCUUUUUGUCUUUUUCACUUGAAAUGCUGCAGGGCUGCCCUGGUCCCACCCUGCAGAUUGUAAUGUUUGGAAAAGGGAGAAGAUGAGAACUAUCCCUUUCUCACUGUCAUUAAUUACAAGUAUUAAACACCAAGGCAGCUACACAACAUUACAGACAAAAUAAAAAUACGAGUUGGAGGAGCCAAGUUCUGCAUUUGCUGCUCCACAAUCAAGAUAUGUCUGAGCACAUCACGUGCCAGAAGCACAUCCCUCAGUUCCAGUCCUGCUCCUGGUCUGGCUGGUCCAGUCAGGACUCAGAGAACCAGGUCCAUCUUUUUCCUGUGUGAUGGUGGUGGUGGUGAUGGUGGUGAUGGUUGUGGUGGUGGUGGUUGUUUUGUUGGUCAUGGUCAUUGUGGUCCCCAAAGUGCAUCUCCCACCCUCGUGCCAGGGCUGGGGAUUAUUUCCCAGGGAAGGUGGUGCCUCUCACAAGGGGUUUGGUGGGGUCCCCUCUGCCUGAACCCCCCAGGACUGGGGGUUUCCCACCACCAGGGUUGUGUGAGAUCCCUCCCCAGCCUGUGCUGUGCUGGUUUGGUGGGAGAAGCCUUCGCUGUUGCUCUGGGCUGUCUCACGCUCUGCCUCGGCUUGUAAUUAAAAAUGAAAUAUUUGGGCUAAGUGCUGAAAUUAAGAACACGUUUUUGAUAGCUCACAAUACAGAGGAAAGCCCUGGAGACCCUGAUAGGGCAAUUAGUGCCUCUCCACUUGCAUUGGAGAUGAGUCUUUUGAGAGAGGAAGCCUGUUCACUCCAGGGGAUUUUUUGGUACAAAAAUGCAAUUACAGGGUAUAAAAGGGAGCAUUUAGAAACAGGCAAAGCGGGAAUGAGUCUGGAGCCUCCUUUGCUGCAGGACUGGGAAGGCAGAAGGUAAGAGGUGCCCCAGGCAUGACACCCCAAACACUUCCCCUUCAACCUGCCGGCCCUGGCAGCAGCUCCCAUCAACUCGUGGUUUCAUUUCCCUCCCGUCUACCUCUCCUGGCUGCUCUUCCAGGCUCGGCUGCUGUUCCAGGCUCAUCCCUUGGCCUCAGCAAUCUCCCAGCUGCUCCAGGCUCGGGAGGCUGGGUGGUUGCUAUCCCAGUUGGCAAUGAGCUUUUGCACUGCUCAGCACAAACCGGAGGAAUCCACCUCCACGGUCCAAGCGUCGUGUGCCGGGGCCGCCUCCUCCAGCACAGCUCUGCUUCCCCCCUCCCUCUCUCCCUCUAAGCAUCUCUGGAGCUGGUGUAUUGUUUAGAACAAAGCCUCGAGGGGCUGUGGCAGCUUCCCAUGAUCAAUCCCAACACCAUGUUGUCCCGGGGUGAUGAGCAAGCCGUGAGCCCUCGCACGGUGUGUGGGGGAUGAGGAGGCUCCGCCACGCUCCCCACGCUCCCACCUGAAAUCCAACUGGUGGACACCAACCCUGGGAGCCUAAAAAAGGUCUGCAGCAAGCAGAGCUCGUGGAGGAAGGUGGUGGUGACCUGCACAGAGCCAGCACAAGGGCAGGGCUGCCUGCACGUCCCUGCAGAGCGGGUGACACGGGGCUGUUUGUCUUGGACGUGCUGGGAUGGGCUGGGAAACAGCGCCGACCUCUUGAGCAACACUGGGGGUUUUUGGCCGGCCGGGCAGUGGCUCAGCUUGUGUCGAGUUUAUAAGAUCUGAUUUCCAAGAUAGGAAAAAACCAAAACAACCCUGUCCAAUGGCCAGACUCGCCCUUGCCAAGGAGGAAGGGAACAGUCGGUGUCGUUAAAGGUUAAAUAACAGCAAAUCACAUUUCUCGUGCCGGGCCGUGUGUGCACUUUAUUUAAUCAGUGUUUAGUUUGUUGAAUUACUUUUAUUGGGAGUUAACUGUGUAGUGGUCUCAGUAGAACAUCUGGUCCAUGAUUUGGAAAGAAUAUUCUUCGACCCUUGCUGACUGCAAUUAUUUUUGGAGACAAGUGGAGGCUUUAGAGGCAUUAAGAAGAUAAAAUGCAGAUUGUUUGCAGAAGGGUUUUUAUUUUAUUUUAGUGGCUUUCAGAGAGAGGAACUUUUAUUAUUUUUUUUGGUCUAUUCUUAGCAGACAGUGCAGUGAAAACCGAGGAGAAGAGCUGGGAAGAGGCACAGAUGUUCCCUUUGCCAUUGGCUGGGCCAGGCACCCAAACCCAAGGCAGAGGGUUUGAACCUCCCUCCAAAGCUGCUGUAACAUUUUCCAAGACUUGCAAUAGCUCCUCUGCCCACCAGUUUCCCAGUAAAAUCACUGAGGGCUGGUAUGGGACUCUCUGUAUAAUAAUUUGAAAGUGUGACAGUUGAUGAGACAAGGAUAGUUUACAAAGUAGAGAAAAUGAAGGGCUUUGUGCUUCCUUCCAUCGAUGGGAAAAUCACAGAUGGAUCCCAAACUUCCAGCUCUCAGCCCAGCACCAGUUCAUCCAGACCACAAAAGAGAACAGCCAAUCUCCCAUUUGGAGUCUAUGAUGGAAGAUGGGACACCUUUAUCCCCAAGAGUAAAUACUCUGAGGGAAAAAAAAGCAGCAUUAAUUUAUCAGUAUUAUAAUUUAUAAGUAUCUCAUGAGUUAAUUGUCGUUGUACAUCGUAUCCCUCCAUGGAGGAGGCUGGCUGACUCCUCUGUGUCUGCAAGAACACUGAUUUCAAUUAUUUAGAGGAAAAUAUACAAUCUUGGUUGCUGUUUGCUCUAUGAUGGUGCAUCUUGUCCAGGGGAAAACCACAGGCAGACAGGCUGGGAAAUUAUGGCUGUUUUUUUAGCAGGAAGAUAAAGUAGAACUGUUAAAGCAGGGAAGGAUGGAUGCUUGGAUAUCCUGGGGGCAUGUUGUUAUGGGCAAGAUCAUGGAUUUGAGAAGGACCUUGGGUGGCUUUGGAAGGGUCAAUAAUACUAAUACUAAUACUAAUAAUACAAGUAUCAUUGGUGUUUUAUUCCAGCACCUCCAUAUACCUUGAUUUUUUGGAAAUGCCCUCAUGUUUCAAAACUAUGAAGGGAAGAAAAGGAAAGGGAGUGAACUUCUCAAUCACAAACUGAUUUUCAGUGUUUGUUAUACUGAGGGGAGGGGGGAAAAGCCCUUUCAUUCUCAAUCCCCAAUUGAAAUUGUUCAUUAAAAAGCACCAGUAAAUUGGGAUGGUCAAAAGCAAACUGCAGAGCAGCAAGAUGUUACUUCCCACUAGUAGAGAUGCUGUAGGUGUGUGUAUAACCACAAUAUCAGCCAGUGGGGAAGAUCCUUCCCCUUCCCAGGCAGCUUUUGUGGCACCACAUCCCUGCCCAGCUUUUCCGGAGGGGUUUUUUUUUGUGUGUGUGUUUCUAUUUGUUUUUCCCCUUCCUGACGUAUUAAUCUCGGGGUCAUCUUAACCUUGGCUCUGUGCUGGCUCUGGGAAAGGGCUGUUGGCAAUAACCCUGCUGGGGGAGCUCUCUGUGGGCACAGUAUUUGGUAAUAAAAGCGACGAUUUUGGAACACGGAGCUCGCGCAGGGAGCUGCACGGCGGGAAUUUGUUAAAUAGCUUAUUCUGCAGUAAAUGCAGCAUAAAUUAAAAACGAAUAAAACAAAAAUCAGAACAAAUGGAAACAGCUAGGAAGGACCCUGAGAGGGCAACUGCUCCAUUCCUAGUGUUUCCAGGAUGGAUGUGUCUGCUGGAUCUGGGCAAUCGACACCCAGAUCAAUCACCCGCCUCCUCCUCUGGCUUUUUUACCAUCAAACCAUGAAAUAUUUGGGCCUUAGCUGCUUGUCAGCUUUGCUUCCUGUUUUCUCACUUUGUUGGAAGUCAACUCCAGUGUUGAGGGCUUUUUUUCCACCAGUAGGAUACAAAAUCAGGAGAAUCAGUUAAUGCCUUGCACUAAAGAAGAGCUGCUGAGCCUGGGUGUGUUUUCCCAGGGGUCUUUAUCUGUCUGCAGCACAGUCGUGUGUGCAUAUCAAAUUAAAAUGAAAUUAUGGCACUGGGACCUCAUGUAGAUCAAUUGUCUCUGUGUAAAAUGCCUCCAGCAUUUUAAACAUGGGUUCCUGCACCAGAGCAAUGGUCUUUGACUUAAUCUGCCUUCCAGGACUGCUUUAGGGGUCACUUACCCCUUUCACACCAGAAAACUCACUGUCUUGCUGCAGAACCAGCAGUAAGAUAUUUUUUGAAGCAAGGAAAUAAUCAGGGUGGUUUUAAUGAGGUUCAGGAGGAGGAGGAGUCUCUUAUCAGCAGAAAAUUCAGCUGUUUUCCCACUCUGUCCUUCCUUGACUUCCUCAUUAACCCCUUGUCACCAAGGAUGAGCACCAGGGCAGGGAAUGCUGUGCAGAGCAGAAAGGGAGUCACUGCCAGAAGGGAAAAGGUUCAAGAGGUCUCCUGCUCCCUCUGAGGCUGGUGGCAGAUAUCAGUGAGCACAGCUGCUUGGGCACUGCCUCCAGGUCUGAGGGGGCAGAAGAAUCUCAGCAGGUGGGUUUCACUGCUCAGCUCAGAGUGAGGAAAAAGGAGGAAUAGAACUAGCGAAAAGCAGAUAUUUCAGGAAUUGCUCCAAAGCUGCUGUUUUCAUUCCAAGGAG